UACAUGCAAGUCGAGCGGUCCUUCGGGACAGCGGCGAACGGGUUAGUAACGCGUGGGAACGUGCCCUUUAGUACGGAAUAGCCAUUGGAAACGAUGAUUAAUACCGUAUACGCCCCAAGGGGGAAAGAUUUAUCGCUAAAGGAUCGGCCCGCGUUAGAUUAGGUAGUUGGUAGGGUAAUGGCCUACCAAGCCGACGAUCUAUAGCUGGUUUGAGAGGAUGAUCAGCAACACUGGGACUGAGACACGGCCCAGACUUCUACGGAAGGCAGCAGUAGGGAAUCUUGGACAAUGGGCGAAAGCCUGAUCCAGCCAUGCCGCGUGAGUGAUGAAGGCCCUAGGGUUGUAAAGCUCUUUCGCCAGGGAAGAUAAUGACGGUACCUGGUAAAGAAACCCCGGCUAACUCCGUGCCAGCAGCCGCGGUAAUACGGAGGGGGUUAGCGUUGUUCGGAAUUACUGGGCGUAAAGCGCACGUAGGCGGAUUAAUAAGUCAGGGGUGAAAUCCCGAGGCUCAACCUCGGAACUGCCUUUGAUACUGUUAAUCUUGAGUUCGAGAGAGGUGAGUGGAAUUCCGAGUGUAGAGGUGAAAUUCGUAGAUAUUCGGAGGAACACCAGUGGCGAAGGCGGCUCACUGGCUCGAUACUGACGCUGAGGUGCGAAAGCGUGGGGGAGCAAACAGGAUUAGAUACCCUGGUAGUCCACGCCGUAAACGAUGAGAGCUAGUCGUUGGGGAGUUCGCUCUUCGGUGACGCAGCUAACGCAUUAAGCUCUCCGCCUGGGGAGUACGGUCGCAAGAUUAAAACUCAAAGGAAUUGACGGGGGCCCGCACAAGCGGUGGAGCAUGUGGUUUAUUCGAAGCAACGCGCAGAACCUUACCAUCCCUUGACUUCCCUGUCGCGAGCUCAGAGAUGAGCCUUUCAGUUCGGCUGACAGGUGACAGGUGCUGCAUGCUGUCGUCAGCUCGUGUCGUGAGAUGUCGUUAGUCCGCACGAGCGCAUCCCUGUCUUAGUGCAUCAUUUAGUGGACUCUAAAGAGACUGCUGUGAUAGCGAGUAGGUGGACGACGUCAAGUCUCAUGCUACGAUGGCUACAUCGUGCUACAUGCAUGGACUAUGUAACCAAAACCUGUCUCAGUCCGAAUGAGCUGGCAUCGAUCAUGA
rnacentral:rRNA from 1 species